UCAUAUACACAUUGAUGCUUUGUCUUUCGAACGAGACUCUUCUUCCACUAUAAAAAUCCACUUUUCACUUUUUUUCUUUUUCGGAUCAAACUCUUGCGAUCAUGCUAGUUAGAGAAGGAUUAGACAAAGCUGGAUUGUUCAAUUUUUCAAAUAAGAUCACUAUAUAUCUAUAUAUAGGAGGUGAAUCAUGCUCUUAAGAUUGUGUUUUUACAUGCUUCAUUCGGAC
rnacentral:lncRNA from 1 species